rnacentral:rRNA from 1 species
UACGGAGGGGGCGAGCGUUAUUCGGAAUCACUGGGCGUAAAGGGUGCGUAGGCGGGUCCUUAAGUCAGGGGUGAAAUCCUGGAGCUCAACUCCAGAACUGCCUUUGAUACUGAAGAUCUUGAGUUCGGGAGAGGUGAGUGGAACUGCGAGUGUAGAGGUGAAAUUCGUAGAUAUUCGCAAGAACACCAGUGGCGAAGGCGGCUCACUGGCCCGAUACUGACGCUGAGGCACGAAAGCGUGGGGAGCAAACAGGG